UGCACAUAAAAAUACCUAAAUUUGUGAAGAUAAUAUACCCUGAGUGGAAAAAUAUUUGUUCCAAAUGAAAUAUUCUAUUCCGGCAGAUUAAUUUUACAAAACUUUAGUUUUUGCCCAAAAUUAUGUAAAAUUAGUAGUUUUGUGAUAAUAAACAUAAAAAUAUAAAACUAUAUGGAAAAAGUAUGUACCGAAUGAAAGAAUCUUUGUUGUGAAUGGAAAAUUCUACACCCUCGGAGUAAUUUUUAAGAUUUACACGUUGUAGUCAGCUGCCGCCGGACGGAUAAAUACCUCAUAUCGGUUUUGUUAUAAAAUGAGUUCCGGAACAGAAUUUUAUCUGAAAAUUUGACCAUAACGUAGAAGACAACUGCCGUUGCUCGGGUAAAUACCUCAAGUGGGUUUUUUAUAUUAAAUGUUCCGGAACAGAAUUUUUUUGGUUAAUCGCGUUAACUACAAAGUGUAAAUAUAAAAUAUAAAACAAUAUUGUCUAAUUUGUUAACAUUUAAUAGAAAAAAUAUUAUUUUUAUAUUAAGUUUG